AGUGAACGCUGGCGGUAGGCCUAACACAUGCCAGUCGAACGGCAGCACAGUAAGAGCUUGCUCUUACGGGUGGCGAGUGGCGGACGGGUGAGGAAUACAUCGGAAUCUACUUUUUCGUGGGGGAUAACGUAGGGAAACUUACGCUAAUACCGCAUACGACCUACGGGUGAAAGCAGGGGAUCUUCGGACCUUGCGCGAUUGAAUGAGCCGAUGUCGGAUUAGCUAGUUGGCGGGGUAAAGGCCCACCAAGGCGACGAUCCGUAGCUGGUCUGAGAGGAUGAUCAGCCAAACUGGAACGGAGACACGGUCCAGACUCCUACGGGAGGCAGCAGUGGGGAAUAUUGGACAAUGGGCGCAAGCCUGAUCCAGCCAUACCGCGUGGGUGAAGAAGGCCUUCGGGUUGUAAAGCCCUUUUGUUGGGAAAGAAAAGCAGCAGGUUAAUACCCCGCUGUUCUGACGGUACCCAAAGAAUAAGCACCGGCUAACUUCGUG
rnacentral:rRNA from 1 species